rnacentral:rRNA from 1 species
UGCGUAGGUGGUUCUGUAUGUCUACCGUGAAAGCGUACGGCUCAACCGUAUUUUGUCGGUAGAAACUGCAGGACUUGAGGCUGGGAGGGGCUGGUGGAAUUCCCUGUGUAGCGGUGAAAUGCGUAGAGAUGGGGGAGAACACUCGUGGCGAAGGCGGCCAGCUAGACCAGUUCUGACACUGAGGCGCGACAGCGUGGGGAGCAAACA